rnacentral:tRNA from 1 species
GGAGCGGUGCUCGAGUGGUUGAAGAGGCAGCACUGGAAAUGCUGUAUACGGGAAACCGUAUCGAGGGUUCGAAUCCCUCCCGCUCCG